GCCCAGUAGCUCAGUUGGUUAGAGCAUUGUGCCAAUACACCAAGGUUGCAGGUUUGAUCCCUGUUCAGGGCA
rfam:Myotis brandtii contig239606, whole genome shotgun sequence.